UUCUCCAACCAGUCCACAGCUCCGACGAGCUUCACAUGGAGGCAUUGAGCUGCUCAACUUUGCCUCUACCCUUGCUUGAUUUUGGCAUCGAGCUUUUCCCAGGCCCGAUUCUGCAUAUUCUCUCUCUUACUCCUGAGAUCUCUUGCUCGACCUCUGAUGGCCAAGUUACUAGCAGGUGCUCUUCGAUUCCGUUUUGACUGCAAGAGCCAUACUCCUCCUCUACAACCUGGAGAAUAGGUGUGUCCCUCACUGUUGCUAGGUUUUGUGUGCUGCCGGAGAUGAAGCCCUCAUUGGAAAAGCUUAGCUUUGGUGGUUACGGCACUCCACCGUAGUGAUACCAAGGAGAAAUUGGAAGUCGUCCCAUGGGCUCAAAUAGAUGAGCUUGCCCAAGCCUCGAAGGGCACAAACAAUCAACUAGAACUAUUGGAGAAGAUGAACUUGAAAGUUGCCAAAGAGUACGAAGAAUUUGGAGAUGUCACUUCAGGAUUAAGGGUAUUUGUGGAGCAACUGAAAUCAAAAUAAGGUAACUUUGAUGAGUAUUUAUAGCGAAUUGAUGUAAUCGAGCAGUAAGUAGCGAAAUUUUGUCUUCUUUUUCUUUUUUUUUUUAUCAUGUCAAGUAGUAUUAAGUUAAAGACAAUUUUGUUAAUUCCAUCGGUCUUCUCUUUGGUGCUGGAAAACAUGUCUCCAGCCGCUUAUACUCUACCUUCUUCUAAUGAAGAAGAAAAAAUUGGAUGUUCGGGUUUGCAUACUAUUUGCUUCGUUUUAACAAAAUGCAUAUAUGUCCUUAUUAGA